GUGAACGCUGGCGGUAGGCCUAACACAUGCAAGUCGAACGGCAGCACAGUAAGAGCUUGCUCUUACGGGUGGCGAGUGGCGGACGGGUGAUGAAUACAUCGGAAUCUACUUUUUCGUGGGGGAUAACGUAGGGAAACUUACGCUAAUACCGCAUACGACCUACGGGUGAAAGCAGGGGAUCUUCGGACCUUGCGCGAUUGAAUGAGCCGAUGUCGGAUUAGCUAGUUGGCGGGGUAAAGGCCCACCAAGGCGACGAUCCGUAGCUGGUCUGAGAGGAUGAUCAGCCACACUGGAACUGAGACACGGUCCAGACUCCUACGGGAGGCAGCAGUGGGGAAUAUUGGACAAUGGGCGCAAGCCUGAUCCAGCCAUACCGCGUGGGUGAAGAAGGCCUUCGGGUUGUAAAGCCCUUUUGUUGGGAAAGAAAAGCAGCAGGUUAAUACCCCGCUGUUCUGACGGUACCCAAAGAAUAAGCACCGGCUAACUUCGUG
rnacentral:rRNA from 1 species